rnacentral:lncRNA from 1 species
AAUUAGCACUUUUUUACUUGAUUAAUCAAUGUAGGAAGGAAAAGCCUGAUCUUUUUUUUCUCAUGGACUUCCUUCCAAGGUAUUUUACUGGAAACAUAGCUAUUUAAUAGCAGCGUGGACUGCUAGAGUGUCUCUAUGUAACAUUAAGAAUCUAAAAAUAUUCUUCAUUUCCCAAUUUUGCUCCAGAGCAACUGUGUACCCUGAUUAAACUACUAUUCUUAUUUGAAGUACUAAUGUGCAUAUCUAAGAAAUAGAAUUCAUAGUGACUGUCACAUUUUGAUUUCAAGGAGUCCCUGAAUAUGAGAGGUGAUCAAGGCAAAGUUUGUGAUGUACUCAAAAGUAUACAAUGAAUUCAUCAUAAUCCCAUUUGGAAUCUUAAUAUUUUAAAUUGUUAUUAAUACUGUUUGAUUAUAAAAUGUAUCUGUUUAGAAUCUCUGGAAUAUGCUUAAUUAUUUUGUUUAAAAAGAAAUUAUAAGCGUUUUUGUGAAAUGUUUAGUUACACUGAAUGUGUAUCCCCCGUACUCAUACACUGAACCCUAACCCCAGUGUGAGAAUAUAUGGAGGUACAGACACUGGGAGGGAUUUAGACUGGUUGAGAACAAGGGAGAUAAGACCCCCGCAGUGAUGAAAUUAAUGUCUUUAUAAGAAGAACUCUCCCUACUCCAUGUGAAAACACAGAGAGAAGGUAGCCAUCUGCAAUCCAAAGAGAGACUUCUCAUCAGACACCUGCUCUUCUAGAGCCCUAAUCUCAGACUUCUAGCCUCCAAAACUGUAGAAAUAAAUUCCUAUUGCUUAAUAUACCCAAUCCAUGGUAUUUUGUUAUAACAAUCAGAGUGGACUGAUAUAAACAGAGAUAGGGAUCAUAAUUUCCUUUUGGCCUGAAAUAUGAAUAUGUAAAGAUAAAUAUAUGAACAUAAAUGUAUUUACUAGAAAUUAUAUAAAUAUUGUGUAAUAGUUAUACACAACUUUUUGAUAAAGUCAUGCCUGUGUUAUAUACAUCAUUUUGCCUCUGAUUUUAAAAACCAACACUCAAUAUAGCCAUUUUCUCAAGUUAAUAAAUACUCUCUGAAAAUACCCUUUUAGUGUUUGCAUGUGUUUGCAUGAUAUUCUAUCAUAAAGACUGUCAUGUUCCUUUAGGCCAUACUUUUGGUUAUAUGGAUUGUAUCUGACUUUCCAUUAUAUCUAAUAUUAUGUUAUGAACCAAUUAGUGAAGUUGUUUUGUCUAAACAUGUGAUUAAGGGUUGAUUCACUUUAAAAAUCAUAGUACAUUACCAAAUAGAUAUUCAAAAUAUUGUAAUUAUUUACACUUCAAACAAUUAGUUAAUAAAUGUGACUAUCUCAUGGCAAUUUUACAAAGUCUAGCUCCAUGCAGCCAAGUAUAAAAAGAGAGGGCACAUAAAUAUCCCAUUGGCCCUGGGCACCAUUCACACACCUCCUUUUCCUGCCUCACACCAUCUUCAACGGAACAAUGAAAUGGGAUUACUAAAUUUCAUUACUAAAUGGAUGAGUGAAAAUGUGUUGUUCUCUUUUUAUUAUGAUUACAAAUGAAGGUGAAAAUUCAUUCCUAUGCUGACAUGCCAUUUGUACUUCUUCAUCUAUAAUUUUUUAUGAAAUUUGAUCAUGUUUUUUAUUCCUUAGAGUUUUAAUGUUACCACCUGAAAGGUUAAAAAUCUUUAGCAGAUAAAUGAUCAAUAUUAUUAAUAAAAUUGGGAAAAUGUAUUCACAAAUCUCUAGUAGAUGAAUAGUAAAUAUUAUUAAUCUAUAAAGUUUUGUGAACAAUUUUUCCCAAUUGGUCAUUUUAACUUUAUUUAUUUAUUUAUUUGGGGAGGUAUGUAAGUUACAAUCAUGUAUUUUUGUAGAGUCCACUUGGCUGUGGCUUCUUUUCUGCCCAGAAGGAGAAGUAGAAACAAUACAUAAAUUCUAGGACACUUCUGUCCUUUUUGUUUCUUCUGUAUCUUUCUGCCAUUACAUUGUGAAGAAGGGAAAUAAUAUUUGAAUAUUUAAAUCCACUUAAAACUGUAUCAAGCAUCCUAAACAAUUAAACAAAAAGACUCACUGAAAGAAAGGAAAAUAUAAGAAAGGGGAGUAUUUGCCAGAGGAAAUAAAAGGAAAAAAAGAAGUGCAAAGGAACACCUAAAAUACUGACAUCAAUUUGGGGGUACAAUUAAAUCUGAAAAUUAGCAAGACAACCAGAACUUAUUUCACAUUUGGAUGUCAUAAUGACAAAUAAAAAGCUGAUCAACUUCAGACUGUUUAGCAUAAUACAGUCUCUUCUCUGGUGUCAUUAUUGCCUGUUGUUUAAUAUUUGAGUGAUGAAAGGUUGGGAAUUACAAUGCUACCACUGGUAUUUGUUAAUGAACCUUUAAAUUGGCCCUUACUGUUAUAGCCUGUUUAUGUUGGCGUGGCUGUGGUGACUCUUUUAUCGAAACAGACAACACAAUUAAUUUACUUCGGUCCUCUAAAAUGUUUGGGUUGAAUCCAAUAAAAAUGACUGUCAGAAAUAAUGCCAGAUCCUAGACUAGCAACAGGAAAACUCUACAAAUAUCUCCAACCAAGAGUGCCAAUUCUCAAGGGGCAAAGGAGGGAGAGGUGGUUGAAGGAGGAAAGAAGAAGGCACAUACAUAUCAAUCACAUAGCUAAGAGAAAAAGAAAUCAGAUUAUGAGAAAACUGGAGUGUUUGACCUAAGUAACAACAAUUGCCUAUUCCAUUAUGCCACUCUUUGGUAUUAGGACAGAUUGAUGAUGUUUUUAAGAAAUAUAUUUUUAUCACCUUCUGUCUCUCAAAUGUCAUAAUGUACUGACCACUGUACAAGAACUAUGUUUCCCAUAUAAAAAGGUCAUGGUGUACUGCAACUACUAGAUACAUCCCAGACUGAAGCAGUGAAAAGUAAACACACCAGCUGCACUAUGAGACAUAAAGUUUUGUUUCCCAUGCUUGAAAAAUUGUGAAUAUGAGAUGUUUUCUGAUAAUUUUCAUUUUCAAAAAAUACUGUAAGUUUUAGCCACUGAUUUUUUUGCCACUAACUUCCAAAUAAGAGGGUGAAGCAAAGGUGUUGUUGACUUACUUUAGAAAAAGACUUAAUAAAAAUCACGUUUGCUGUUCAUUUUGCCCAUAAUCUGAACAUUCAUUUUCAAAGUUAAUCAACAUAGUAAAUGGCUUUUUACAAAGACAU